ACCUCAUCCAUACCCAUCCUUUAAGGGUAUUUUGGUCUUUUUGUUUCUUUCUUUGAAGAUUGUGCUUUGUACUUUUCACCAACCAUCACAUUUCCCCACAUCCCCACUUGAUUAUACCCAACCCAUCAUCCAUCACCUUUUGUACUUCUUAUCAUCUAUCAUAUUUUUCAAAACUCCAUUGUUCUCUUCUUCAACCAUUGAAAUUUGAAGAUCGAAGAUCGAAGCCAUCCCUUCCAACCUUUGAAAUAUGAAGAUCGAAGCCACCAUCAAUGCUCUGCCACCAUCAAAGCUCUCAAAGAUCGAAGAUCAAAGCCACCAUCCCUUCCAACCUUGAAAUCUGAAGAUCGAAGCCACCAUUGAAGAUCGAAGCCACCAUCAAAGCUCUCAAAGAAAAGGAAGCUCGGUGUCAUUUUAAUCACAUCUUUGUUUCUGUUUUUUAGAGAGAGAAAGGUAAUGUUUUGGAAGGAGAGAUAACAAUUUUCAUGUUGUUCACCUAGACACCAAGAACACACGCACAAGUGUGUGAGAGAGAAACAGGUGGAAAGAUGUUUUGUGUUCAAGAUGAAGAUGGUUAUCAAGAAGCGAAACCCGCGGAAGGAUUACAACGCAUCAUCAGGUUUUCGUGGUGACGAUGGUGUUGUUGUGAAGGCAAUUUUUAGAAGACCAUUUUUAGAAGCAUUACAACUAUUGAUAUAAAAUUUAUUUUUAUUUUCAUUGUUAGUAUGCCAAUAUUUGGAUGAAUACGGAUGUUGUUGUGAAGGCAA